rnacentral:pre_miRNA from 1 species
CCUCCGCAGGCUGGCCGGCCCCCAGGCUGGGUUGGAAGAGUAUCUCUUCGAAAGGCUUACCCUCAACACAACUAGGAGC